UGGGCCUUAGUCCACUACAUCAUACUGUUACAAUGCCAGAUUGAAAUAUUCAACUUAAUUUGUACUAAACACAAGGAAAAUUAUGUUCUUACACGUGAACUCGAAAAUCACAGCCUCCACAUUACACAUUGCUUUAAAGCCCCGAAACAUAUACCAUAAUAACAAAAACAAAGUAAAAGAAUCAUUUCACACUAAAAUCCCUGUCCCGCUAAGCCACAUAGAUACAUAGCUCUAGACAAAUUUAGGCACAGCUCCAAUAACUGCAUCUUUCUUCUCACCAUUCUUGAAGAUCAUGACAGUUGAAGAUACAGGGCUCACCAUCUGAAGAAGAGACAAAGUUGGUUAAUUUUGGUUUGAAAAUUGUCAGGUAACAACAAAUCAUAUUCUAUGCAAAGUUGUAAGGUAAGGACUACACUACUACACUUUUACUGCUCCACUGGUCACUAUUGUAAGGACUGCAGGUUCAAAAUAUUGUUUAGUUACUACACAGAAGUCAGAACACAGACAAAUGUUUUAACUACUGUUGUGUCUCGACAUUUGGCAUUGUAACAGUUAUACCUCCAGAGGUGUUUUCUGAUUGUCUUGUCAGCUUUUAUCUGAUCCCGCUUGGCAUAUAGAAAAGUUAACAUAUGCCAGGUCAGUUAACAAAUACCAGUUAGCAAAAUAACUGCAAGCUAAGUGACUAAGUGUGUUUAGAAAUCGCUGGUCUUAAUCUAUAAUAAGAGCACUAAUCUCACUUUAAUAUCGUCAUCUGCAGUGGUUUACAUUAUAGCAAGUAUGGCCUACAUAAAGGAAAAUCUUAUGAAAUAUUUGUACAGACAGCUAAUGUGAUUCUUUCCCUGGAUUACAGAUAAUAAUUUGGCCAGUGACACUGCAGAUUCAUGUCAACAUCAAGCAUAGAAUAGGAAUUCCAAAUUUCCAAUACGGCUCAAUGAAAUCAAGUUAUACAUUUCAAAAGGAAUUUCAAUCAUCAAAAUUCUCAAAUUCAACGCUUUUGAAAAAUCAAGGGGUCAAGGUUAAGGUUAAGGUUCUAGUAAAACUCAUCGUACGAGUUGAGAUGGUAUAACCAUAACUCUGCGAGUAGGAAAUGCAAGGCAAAGGUUGAUCAAUAUCUGACAGGAAGCAGUCAGAGUAAUGAACUUGUGAGGAAUGGUAUUCUACCAAACUAUUAGCUAUCAAUGGAAUGUAAUCUAUUGUUAAGGCUUAGAAAAUGUUGCAAAACCUUUUAUUAUAUCUUCAGAUGGCAAUGAUACUGCUUACAACAAUAAUUAUACUACACAGCAUAAUUAUAUCUUAAAUGAUGCCAUUUUUUAGAUAAAAAUCAAAUGAACUAACCUCUUUAACAGUAAGUUGCAGGGGCAGUUUUCUUCAAAGACGAUGUGUUCGUAAAAUCUGAAAAAAUCAAAUGAAGUAUAAACAAACCAAUGUAUAUCAAAAAAUCAAACACAAAAGCAUAAAAACAGACUAAUUAGCAAUAUUAAACAAACCUGAUUCAAGUUCUUCAUAAAACUCCAUUUCUUCGAUAGUUGGUGCAAACUGUAAAGAUGCAAUAUCUCCGGCCUUCAACCAAUUUUGACAACAAAACUUAUAGAGAAAGCUACAAAACAAUCAGAAAACAAUAUAUUAACAAUCUUAUAUAGAAAUUUCAAUGAAAUCAAUAUACUAAUUUGAUUUAAAAGUAUGAUCAGAGAGUCAAAACAGAGUAUGAGCUGAUCGAUUGUCGAAUUCAAAGGAUGAACAAGUGAUUUACUUUUAAGUCAAAAGAGUAAAGUAACAAAACUGUUUCAGAUUCAUGUAUAUAGAAAUAUAGAAUCUAAAUAAGAAUUAUCUCAUUGCAUGAAGAUAAAUAGAAUAUCAGAAAGUCACUAGAUAGCCAGUACUUAAAUGGAAUAACAUGUAAAUCAAAAUAUGGCUAUCUUAUUAUUUAAUUAAUCAGAAAACAUAAAAUGAGUUUUAUGUAUAUGAAAUAGAGGAUCAAAAGAAUACAUGCUAAAUAACCCGCUGUCAUCUACGUUCAUAUUCAAACUAGGGGUUGUGAUAGUUAAUAAACAACAUUCCUGCUUGAGGAAACUGAUAAUCCCAUGUCCCUUUAACAAGCUUAAGUAUUAAACAAAAGGGAGAACAAAACAAUUGAUGCUAUCGGAAACAAUACUAACUCUAGACAAACAUCAAAGAUAUGCAUAGUGAUGGUGGUGGUCAGAUUAGCGCAAAACAAAAUUAAAACCCUUGGAAAUCGAAAUACUUUGCCAAAAACUGUGCGAAAUUAUGUAUAUAAAUAGUGGAAACAAAUGCAGAUGUGGUAAUUGAUUACAAACAAUCAACAAAUAAGUAAGAAAAACAGUAAAAAUGAAGAAAAUAAGUUAAUUGAGACAAUUCAAGCAAAUAAAACAUGAACCCCUUUACUUGAAACCAAUCAUAAUAUUGAUAAUUUCUAGAGAAAUAUAUAAACUUACAUUGAAGGGUGUAGUGAAAGACUGAGACUUUUGAGUGAAAGAAGUUGAAGAAGAACGAAGAAGUCCAACAAGUGAUCUUGAAAGAAAGGCAGAUGCUAUUUAAUUGCUAUAGAGAAUUCUUAGAACAUCAAGAGCAAAUGAAGAGAGAGAGAGAGAGAGAGAGAGAGAAAGAGAGACUUCGAUCGACUCAAAGCGAUGGGAGGGUUUUGGUUUUGGUUUUGGGGAGAAGAUUGUCAUAAGAUCAGCAAAAAGUAGUUGGAGAAGAGGAAUGAAAAGGGGGCGGAUUGAGAUGGAGAAGACUCAGAAGAGGAAGAAGAAAGUUAGGUUUUCUACUUCUUAGGUCUAAUUUAGUAAUUUAGUAAUUAAAAAAAUAUUUUUUUAUUUAUUUCGGUUCGGUUCGGUUCUCUCGG
rnacentral:lncRNA from 1 species